GCUCGCGUAGCUCAGCAGGUAGAGCACACCCUUGGUAAGGGUGAGGUCGCCGGUUCGAGCCCGGCCGCGAGCU
rnacentral:ncRNA from 13 species